UCCUGUGAGAAGUUCCACUGCCUGAGGCUGGCAUGCUGUGAGAAAGCCCAAGACAGACAGAGAGACCCUUUGAAGGCUGGAGUGCAGUGGUGCAAUCUCAGCACACCACAACGUCCGCCUCCUGGGCUUAAGAGAUUCUCCUGCCUCAGCCUCCCAAGUAGCUGGGAUCACAGGCAUGUGCCACCACACCCAGUUUUCUUCAAUAUACGGCUUAAAUGAAGAGGGAACCAGCAAAGAGCAAAAAUUACAACCAAGCAGAAAACUGUUUUUGCCACUUCUCGACGCUAAAGGAAAGUGAGAAAAAAACAGGACAACAAAUUUAGUGUUUUUAUACUAGAUGCAAGAACUACAGUACCAAGAAGCAGCAGACAUCAGGGAAAGAAUAAUUCAAAGAAGAGCCAGGAGAACAGCCUGGCUUACAUUGCCUCUACCUCUUCAAGAUUCUAAGAUCAGUGUUCUAACCAAGGAAUUGCUAAUGAUGCUUCUGGGCAGCUUCCAGGAAGGAUGGGGGCCUCAGCAUCCGAACACAACCCCUACUUGAUAAAACUGUCAUCAUUAUGAUGAGGAGAAAUUAGAGACAACCAAGCAAGAAGCAAAACUAUGAGCCCCA